AAGCUCAUGAAACUUCAUUUGUAAAGGAUACUUCCCGUUGAGGAAUGUCACCAAAGAUGCAAAUCCUAUGGCGCCAACUGUAACCACAGCCAUUUCGACAAUUGUAAUCUCUACUUAGCCUACCAACAGACAUAGACAUGUACCUCAAUACAAUUUCUAUUGGACUGCCAUCUCUUUGCUGUCUGCUGCCUAUCUGCUGGCCCUACAGUAUUUCUAGCCAUUGGACAACAGAAAACAAAGCCUUUUUCCUCUUCUCCGCGCCCGUCUUCACCUCGCCUGUCAACCCCUCUUCGCUUCGUCUGUCGUCCCGUCUUCGCCUCGCCCGUUGUCCCGUCUUCGCCUCGCCCGUCGUCCCGUCUACGCCUCGCCGGUCAUC